rnacentral:tRNA from 1 species
UACAGUAUGGUCUAGUGGUUAAAACGUCCGGCAUAUACCCGGAAGGUGCAGGUUCGACCCCUGGUGCGGUAG